rnacentral:lncRNA from 1 species
UGUCGAUGUAUAUUCAGAAUUCAAGGCACGUGGUUGUUAUCUAGUCUAGUUGAUUCUACAGAUACGCCUGUUAUCGGACGGAACAUGGCCGGAUGCGAAGCUCAUGACAUCCGCCAGGAGACGCGGAUCCUGGAGACAGCGUCCAGACUUCGGAAACACAGGGUCAAGCAUCUCGUAAAUUCCCUGCUGAGGGACCGGUGCUUGGAAGAAAGCCCUCCCCUCCUCGGGCCUGUACCACCAGGAAACACUGGGAUAGAACGAGUGCCGCUGGCUCUUCCCUGUCUGCAAAGACGACGAGAACGGCAGGGAGGAGGGCGAGCUCCCUCGAGCACAUGGGGAAGAAGAGAGGGGGAGACGGAAUAAAUUUCGGCAGUUCGCGCCCCUCUC